AGAUGUGAGGACGACCUGGUUGCGACAUCUGUCACCCAUUGAUCGCCAGGGUUGAUUCGGCCCAUCUGGCUGGUUAGUCAGCUGUCUCCUUCCUCCCUCACCACUCCAUGAGAAUCCCUCCCCAAGCUGCCCCGUGCUGGCUGGAAGAGGAUGCCUGUGCUCCAUAGAGCAGAGGUCCGUUCUUCCGUCAAGGGUACACGAGGAGCUGCGCUCCCCCGCUGGGACCGCCAAACAAGCUCUCAAGGUCCAUUUGUAGGAGAACGUAGGGUAGUCAAGUUUCCAAGACUCGAGAAACAGCCAAAUAAGCCGCUGCAUGUGGCAGUCUGCCUUUCUCA
ensembl:misc_RNA 7SK 7SK RNA